rnacentral:lncRNA from 10 species
AAGGGGCCUGGCUGGGCACCAUGGCGGCAGGUGGGAAGGUCGGGCUCGAGGUGUGCGGAGAGGAGGCCGCGGAGGGGCAGCAGGGCUGUGCGUUCUGAUGCGCUCCCCUGCGGGGACCAGAGCCGGUGUUCGAGCUGCUGCUGUCUGGCGGCUCCGGCAGCUUCUUCCGCUUGUGCUUCCCUUUCCUGCAGCCGGCCGACCGCGUCUGCUUGGAAGUAGAAUCUCCUGGAAGGAUAAAGGACACAGCGUUUGUCCCCUUCAAGGAAGUGAUGUUCUCUGAGAAGCACAGACCUGGCCCUCGCUAGACACUGAACCUGCCGGUGCCCUGAUCUUGGACUUCCUCGCCUCCAAAACUGCAAAUCAAGAAAUAUGAAAAGCAGCAACACAGGGUCAUGACUUUAUGCUCACGAAUCACAUACAUGACGUCUAUGCAGAGAGUGACAGCCCAUGGAAGGAGAUCCUUGGGGCUGCCGGCUGACUCACCACCACCAUUCGCUGACUCACCACCACCAUUCGGUUCUGUGCGUGUCCCCGUCACUGGCUUGAAUGAUGAUUUGGUCAUUGACUCAAUGUAGAGCUGCUGACCCAGAUUUUUAAUUUUGUUCACACUGGCAUAGACCUGCUGCAAGGUCAUCUUAGGGAAAGGAAUGAUAAAAUAUGUUUCAAAAAUUAUAAAAAUGUCCACUAAAAGAUACAUAAACAAAAUACACUUAGCUUCUGUUUCUUUGAAGAUAUAAUGACUGAAGCACAGUAAUCACUUUAAUCCAGUUUCCUGCACCAUGCCACAGUAUACUGGUACCAACAAAUUCUAAAUAAAUCUGUUCACAAUA